UCAGCAAUCUGCCCUUCUCUUCGGAAUAAGCGUUGGAAACGACGUCUAAUGCCGAAUACGACCUCCUUUCGCAUGAUCGGAGGUGGAAAGCUCCGGCGGAGAAGGAUGAGCUCGCGGCCUAUCAGCUAGUUGGUGUGGGUAAUGGCCCACCAAGGCGACGACGGGUAGCCGGCCUGAGAGGGUGACCGGCCACACUGGGACUGAGACACGGCCCAGACUCCUACGGGAGGNAGCG
rnacentral:rRNA from 1 species